rnacentral:rRNA from 1 species
GAUGAACGCUAGCUACAGGCUUAACACAUGCAAGUCGAGGGGAAACGAUAGAGAAAGCUUGCUUUUUCUAGGCGUCGACCGGCGCACGGGUGAGUAACGCGUAUCCAACCUGCCCAUCACUUGGGGAUAACCUUGCGAAAGUAAGACUAAUACCCAAUGACGUCUCUAGAAGACAUCUGAAGGAGAUUAAAGAUUUAUCGGUGAUGGAUGGGGAUGCGUCUGAUUAGCUUGUUGGCGGGGUAACGGCCCACCAAGGCGACGAUCAGUAGGGGUUCUGAGAGGAAGGGCCCCCACAUGGGAACUGAGACACGGUCCAAACUCCUACGGGAGGCAGCAGUGAGGAAUAUUGGUCAAUGGCCGAGAGUCUGAACCAGCCAAGUAGCGUGCAGGAUGACGGCCCUAUGGGUUGUAAACUGCUUUUAUAAGGGAAUAAAGUGGGAGUCGUGACUCCUUUUGCAUGUACCUUAUGAAUAAGGACCGGCUAAUUCCGUGCCAGCCGCCGCAGUAA